rnacentral:rRNA from 1 species
CAGCAGCCACGGGAAUACGUAGGGUGCGAGCGUUAAUCGGAAUUACUGGGCGUAAAGGGCGCGUAGGCGGAUUGUUUAGUUAGGCGUGAAAUUCCUGGGCUUAACCUGGGGACUGCGCUUAAUACAGGCAGUCUAGAGUGAGGAAGAGGGUUGUGGAAUUCCCAGUGUAGAGGUGAAAUUCGUAGAUAUUGGGAAGAACACCGGUGGCGAAGGCGGCAACCUGGUCCUUGACUGACGCUGAGGCGCGAAAGCGUGGGGAGCAAACAGGAUUAGAUACCCCUGUAGUCCCUGUCUCUUAUAC